rnacentral:lncRNA from 1 species
AUUCUGUUGGUGUUUCCUUUCAAUAUUCUAUGGAGAGAUAUUGUGAAACUACUUUAAAAAUUGCAUCAAAAAAAUCCCCGAAUUGGAAUGAAGCUCUGACUUUUCAUAUUAACAAAUUUCAUUUGCAAGAGUUAGACAUUGGUAAGCUAUAUUUAUAUCCUUAUUAAAAGAACAACAUUUGUUUUCUUAUCAAUAUAAAAAUCGAUUACUACAUGUGUUCUAAAGUCUCGUAUACUAAAUAACUUAUCAUCUUAACAUGCAUAUUGAACAUGUUGAAGCUUUAUAAAGUUGGUGCGUUUGGAAAAUAAUCGUCAUCAUCAAAACUAAAAACUAACAAUUUGAAAGGCAAACAUAUAUGGAUACUUAUAUACAUUUUUGUAAUUAGUUUAGUUUAAACAUAUUUGAUUUUAGUGGAUUCGGAAAAAACAUUAAUGCAAUUUAUAUUAAUCCCACUUUGCAGGUGUGAGAGCUGCCUUGUAGCGGCAUUAGCCUGUUCCUUUUCGAAAUCUACAGGGGUGUCUUUUACGUGCAAGAGAAAUGACUCUCUCUUUAACACGGGUCAGCAAUUGAUCGUCCCCUUGACGGACUAUCAUCGAUUCCUCAUCAAGAUCAUACUCGCAAAUGGUGUCAAAAAGUAAAAUCACAAUACUGAACUCAGUGGAAAAUCUAAUCUGAAAGCCUAUAAUCACAUGGCUAAAUCAAAUGACAAAACAUAAAAAACGAAUGGACAAGAGCUGUCAUAUUCCUGACUUGGUACAGGCAUUUUCAAAUGUAGAAAAUGAUGCUCAAGGGAGAGCCGAAAAUUAAGUCCCUGAAAUUUUCUCCCUGGAACGAUACUUACAUACUUGCGGGGAUAAAAGAAAAAUACAGGUAAAAUAUAUACCAGAAGGGCUAUUUAGAAAGGGGUUCAAAUCAAUUGAAAGCUCAUCAGCUUUGGAGAGUAGUAACUUUAGUUUCUAUAUCUGUAUUAGUUUUUCAUCGAAUUUGUUUUCAUAAAUCUGCCCUUGAUAAUGUCUGAACCAUAGCAUUGUGAAGAUGAAUCCUAGCAAUCAAUGAGCAGUGGUCGAAAUGCAGCUCUGUAAUCUGAAAAAUAUUCCUCAAUAAUACCUGCGAGGAGCCUUUCUGUACUAACUUGCAGAAUUGAAGAAUAGACAAAGGAUCGUUAUUUUUUUAUGCUCAUGUAAAAAAUGAUAAGGUAUCAGAACUGUUCAGUAGAUCAAAUUCAUUUGUUUAAAAUCCAUGCUUUAUGACCCUGGAUUAAGAUCAGUUUAAUACUACGUUCUAUAUUUUGACCUUUGCUUUAAGUUCUUUAUAGGUUUAUGGUAAAGGAUAGAGUACAUUCCAAAGCAAACAUAUGACCAUAAAGAAGCUCAUCAGAAAGUACUUUUUGUAAAUCUGAUGUUGCAUUUUAUCAUUAUUUCCUGCCAUAAUUACUUAGUUGAAAGGUUAGCUUUUAACCAAGGUGUAAUUUACCAAUUUUAAAAAAAAGGAAAUGCCUUUUCCAAGCCAGGAAUAUGACAUUUGCUUUUCCAUUCGUUUGGUGUGUUUGGGCUGUUCCAAUUGAGAGACUUUCUGUUGAACACUUUCCUGUGAAUUCGGAUUUUUUAUUUUUGUUAUUGAUAUAGCAAUUUUUUAAUCUGAAAGUACCAACUUAUCGUCCGUAUUUCUUUGAACAUUAUACCAAAUAUGUAGAAAGCAUAUAUUUUCAGAAUCAGAGUAUCUGACUCUAAAACCGUGCGUGAAUACUCUAUAAUCAAAGUAUGAUUAUGCAGAGUAGAAUAACUUUCAAAUUUUAGUUUUUGAUUAUUAAAAGUAAAAUAAUUUUCAAAUGUUAGGUUUAAGGUUUUGAUUUUGAUUUUACAUGUUUUUCUUUCUUUUUGUAGUUAAGAAUUGAAUGCUUCUUUUUGUAACUUUAUUGGGGUGUAAAAGCGUUGACCGAAGUACAUAGUAUGAAGGGCGGAGGCACCUUAUUCUAAAAAUGUACGCAUGGUCAACGCUUUUACAACUCUAUAAAGUUACAAAAAGAAGCACUCAAUACUUAUAAUUACAUUUUUAGCUUUGAUCAUGAAAACACGAAUUUCAUAUUUUUUUUAUAUAAUUCACCUGUGCACUUUAUUGUGGGACCACGUGUUAUCAUGAAUGAAAAGUUUUAUUGAGUAAUGCAAUUGCUUAAGGAAUAACAUGUGAUGUGCAGUUAGCCAAUCAGAAUAAAGUAUUAUAUUGAAACAUACAUCAAAUGUAAUUAUUUGAUGAAACAAAUCAUAUAUUCAGGUUCGAUCAAUUAUGUGUUAUAUAUCAUUCUUCCUUUUACAAUUUAAGAUUUUUACUAUUUAAUCGAUAUGUCAACAUAACUGUUCUCUUUUAGCAUGUUCGAAGCUCUUGUUCAAGUUGAUGAAGCACGAGUCUUAAAUAUUAACCAGUGAAUGCAGUAAAGAGUGUUAUCUGAGAGACAUUCUCAAAAAUCAAAAAGUGGUUUUCAAGGUAUUGGCUGAGAG